rnacentral:rRNA from 1 species
GGAUUACCCGUGACGGCAAUAGUUCAAUACACAUUUGACAAGAUGAAUGCGUACUUUGUAAAGUACUUGAUGGAAACCGAUGCACAAAUAGCGGGUGAGAACCCACUGAAGUACAAGUACAAGUUCCCACCCAAAGUUGAUGAAUGGUUGGUAUUUCAAUCACGGAAGGCGGACUCAGAAGAAGCUAUAUUAUAUGACAACGAAGAGUGGAAGUACGAAGUGAAAGAGCCAGGAGGAACCACAAAUGAUGGCCGGCAACAUGGAGGUCGGGCUUUCAAGGUGUCGUUAACACAAUGUGAUUGCACUUGCGGGAGGCCGUUGUUGCUUCAUCUCCCAUGCUCACACUUGUAUACCGCCGGUCGCGUUAGGAAUGUGGACAUCAAUCACCCACGCACCGUGAGGGAGUCCGAGUUCUCAAUCAUGACGGUCAAGAAAACAUGGGCUCCCCGCUUUCACCCAUAAUUUGACCAAUCGCAAUGGUCGGAGUAUCAUGGAGUUCAACUAUGGCCGGAUCUGGAGUUGAAGGUUGUUAAACGGGGUAGACGUCAGACAAAGCAUCUUAGAGGAGACAUGGACGGAUGGGGCCAUGGUGGCCGCCGCGAAGCGGGCAAUGACCAAUUCCAAGAGCCUCGUGAGAGCUCCCUUUGUGGGGAGUGCAAAGGUCAUGGCCAUAACAAAAGAAAAUGUACGAAACCAAGGAAAAGGUCCAAGAAAAAUGAUGCAAGCACAAGCCAACAAGGAGCUACACAAGGGAGCCAACCAAGUGGUAGCCAACAAGUGCCAAGCCAACCAAGAGGUAGCCAACAAAAGUGA